AAAAGGGAACGUCAUCCUUGCCACCGGAAGCGCAACAUUAUCACCCGGGAUGAAAACCGACCGUCUGUUUAUAUUUUGGACCGAAGUUUUGGUUUUCUGCUGGUUUUCUGCUGCAGACGCAGUCGAGUCGUUUUGAAUUUAUCUCGUUAAACGACCCGCAAAGAAACAAAACUGGCCCCUCCACUGCCUGUCACCAUGCCCGCCCUGCUGGAGAGACCCAAGCUGUCCAACGCGAUGGCCAGAGCCCUCCACAAACACAUCAUGAGGGAGAGGGAGCGCAAGAGACAAGAGGAGGAAGAGGUGGACAAAAUGAUGGAGCAGAAGAUGAAGGAGGAGGAAGAGAGGAAGAGGACAAAAGAAAUAGAGGAGAGGAUGUCUUUGGAGGAAACAAAAGAGCAGGUAAUGAAGAUGGGGGAAAAACUUCAGGGACUCCAAGAAGAGAAACACCAGCUCUUUUUACAGCUCAAGAAAGUACUUCAUGAAGAGGAAAAGAGGCGCAGAAAGGAGCAGAGGUAUGAUAUCACAACAUUGACAUCGGCAAGCUACCAAUCCAGCCUACCCAUGCACGCGGGGCAGCACCUCCUCAGCAUUCAAGGCAAUCCCGUCAGCCACAGUCGACCCGGUGCGUUGCUCGGAGAGCGGAGCAAACAGCUGUUCCCAGCUGCCGUGAUUCCAGCACGUCACUAUCAGACACCUGGGUUUAGCUCGGGCUCAGCAGAGCACGGACAGUUCAGCGGGGGGCAGGGGGUCCAUGAGCCCUACGGGGUGGCUCAGGCCCAGCACCCCUCUACCUACGCCCCUGGACCGUCUGUACCUGUCAGUUUUGCAAGCAGCUCUCAGAUCAGAGGUGCGUCUGCGUUUCAGGCCAUGCAGUACCUCCCCCACCAGCAGCCUGCCUACCCCGUCCACAGUCACUUCACCUCCCAGCCCGGAUACAUCCCUGGAGCAGGAAUACCCCUCCAGAAGCAGCUGGAACACGCCAACCAGCAGUCCGGCUUUACUGAUGCAGGCGCUUUAAGGCCUAUGCAUCCACCAGCCAUGCAUCCUUCUGCUCCAGGUCUGCUGCCCACUCCAUCCAUGGCGGUCCAGAUUCCCACUGCAAAGGUUAAAACACACCCCACUCUUUUCAUUAACCCCUUCCGUUGAUGUUCAUCACUUCGUCUCUAAUUCUGGGUAGAGCUGCAAUGAUUAGUUGAUAAUUCGUCCCCGUUCCAGAGCUCUCCCCAGGGUGCUCCUCGCCACAACUUCCUCCCCCAGAGCCAGAGCGGGCACAGGUUCUACCACCACGGCAAGUAACCUGCAGCCACCUUCAUCUUCACUGUCGACGAGAUUUCACAACUUCAUUCAGGAUAUUCUGGAGAAACGAUUGGACGAGGAACGGAUCGACUUCUUUAAAGUCAUCAAGGAUGGAUUAUGCCACAUGAUUUGUUUUUAUUUCCUGUAUAGUAUUUUGUUUUGACUUCAAUGAGUGAUCAGCUGAUCAGCUGCCUCAUGCUUAUGUGCUUUUGAUUUUUUUUUUUUUUUUUUUACAUAACUUCAAAUGAUGUUAAUUUGUAAAAUAGAUUAUUUUACCUACACUGUAAAGCCAUUCUGGAGGUGUUUAUGUUAAUAUCUUGUAUAAAGCAAGACUGCAUGAACCAGAGCUUAUUCUUUGUAUACUAACAUUCAUAACUGCAGCAUCAGUGGACGCGUCAGUGUCUGCAGCUAAAACCACAGGAGAGGUAAAUAUUCAGCAACACUUUCUAAUACAUGGAUCAAAUCAACAUGUUUCCACUAAGGUCACACACACACUGAUGAACACUACUAUAGCUGCUUUGAUGUAACUCAAUAGACUGUAUCUCUGUGUGUUGCUAACUUCUGGUCGAUCACAUUAGACCCAUUAAGGUUUGUUACCACAAAUUAAGUCAAGAUGACUUUCAUUUUUCUGGCAAUAUGAUGGAGGACUUUCAGUGUUUGGCGUUGUCCUCUUCCACAGUAAAUGAAGUUUAAGCCUGUUUUCAAAGCCUUUAUGUUGCUAAAUAAAACGAUAAGCAAA